UUGAUACUGUUAGACUUGAAUUAUUAGGAAGUAACUAGAAUAUGUAGUGUAGCGGUGAAAUGCUUAGAGAUUACAUGGAAUACCAAUUGCGAAGGCAGGUUACUACUAAUUGAUUGACGCUGAUGGACGAAAGCGUGGGUAGCGAACAGGAUUAGAUACCCUGGUAGUCCACGCCGUAAACGAUGGAUACUAGCUGUUGGAAGCAAUUUCAGUGGCUAAGCGAAAGUGAUAAGUAUCCCACCUGGGGAGUACGUUCGCAAGAAUGAAACUCAAAGGAAUUGACGGGGGCCCGCACAAGCGGUGGAGCAUGUGGUUUAAUUCGAUGAUACGCGAGGAACCUUACCAAGGCUUAAAUGUAGAUUGACCGGUUUGGAAACAGAUCUUUCGCAAGACAAUUUACAAGGUGCUGCAUGGUUGUCGUCAGCUCGUGCCGUGAGGUGUCAGGUUAAGUCCUAUAACGAGCGCAACCCCUGUUGUUAGUUGCCAGCGAGUCAAGUCGGGAACUCUAACAAGACUGCCAGUGCAAACUGUGAGGAAGGUGGGGAUGACGUCAAAUCAUCACGGCCCUUACGCCUUGGGCUACACACGUGCUACAAUGGCCGGUACAGAGAGCAGCCACUGGGCGACCAGGAGCGAAUCUAUAAAACCGGUCACAGUUCGGAUCGGAGUCUGCAACUCGACUCCG
rnacentral:rRNA from 1 species